rnacentral:rRNA from 1 species
CGGGGGGGGGGGCAAGCGUUGUUCGGAAUUACUGGGCGUAAAGGGCGUGUAGGCGGUCCUGCAGGUCUUUCGUGAAAUCCCACAGCUCAACUGUGGAACUGCGAGGGAAACUGCAGGACUUGAGUCCGGGAGAGGAGAGUGGAAUUCCCAGUGUAGCGGUGAAAUGCGUAGAUAUUGGGAGGAACACCGGUGGCGAAGGCGGCUCUCUGGACCGGUACUGACGCUGAGGCGCGAAAGCUAGGGGAGCAAACGGGAUUAGAUACCCCGGUAGUCCUAGCCUUAAACGAUGAGCACUUGGUGUGGCGGGUAUCGACCCCUGCCGUGCCGAAGCUAACGCAUUAAGUGCUCCGCCUGGGGAGUACGGUCGCAAAGGCUG